CCAGACUCCUACGGGAGGCAGCAGUGAGGAAUAUUGGUCAAUGGGCGGAAGCCUGAACCAGCCAAGUCGCGUGAGGGAAUAAGGCCCUACGGGUCGUAAACCUCUUUUGCCGGGGAGCAAGGGCGGGGACGUGUCCCGGCCCGGAGAGUACCCGGAGAAAAAGCAUCGGCUAACUGCGUGCCAGCAGCCGCGGUAAUACGUAGGUGGCAAGCGUUAUCCGGAUUUACUGGGUGUAAAGGGCGUGUAGGCGGGAGUGCAAGUCAGACGUGAAAUUCCAGGGCUCAACCCUGGAACUGCGUUUGAAACUGUUCUUCUUGAGUGAUGGAGAGGCAGGCGGAAUUCCGUGUGUAGCGGUGAAAUGCGUAGAUAUACGGAGGAACACCAGUGGCGAAGGCGGCCUGCUGGACAUUAACUGACGCUGAGGCGCGAAAGCGUGGGGAGCAAACAGGAUUAGAUACCCCGGUAGCG
rnacentral:rRNA from 1 species